CUCAGAUGCUAGUGCCAGUGGUGACAGGACUCUGUAAGCAGAACAGGAUUCUGAGGAAUGGAAGACAGGCUGCUUUGCUGGAAAACCUCCUCAUUUGGAGAGAAAAAAAAGGAUGUUUCUGUUUUGAAAACGCAGAUUCAAAAGGUGAAGACACCACUUGAAGGAUUCAUUACUUGCGUACACUGUGUAAUAAAAGCACAAUGUAUUGUGUAUGUACUACCCUGUAUUGUGUUCAUAAACUAUGAGAAUAAUAAGUCUCACAAUUACA